GGCUGGGCCUUGGUGAUGCAGGAUGCUUAAAGGUUUCUAAGUAAUGGCCAGGCGUCAUGGGCCAGGGCCCUGUUCGAGGCGAGGGAACCCAGCGGUCAUCGUCGAUUGCCCCUCUACCUUCCUGUUAAUUAUUAUCUGACUGUGCAGGUUUCCAGAAUCAUUAUGACCGCGUCUGUUCACGUUCAGCUUUCCCCAUAAAUUCUUU
rnacentral:lncRNA from 1 species